GGCUAACCUGCCCUUGGGCCGGAGACAACCCCGGGAAACUGGGGCUAAUCCCCGAUAGGUGAAGAACUCUGGAAUGAGUCUUUGCCCAAAAGGCGUCAGAUCAUGCUUCUGGCGUCGCCCAAGGAUGGGGCCGCGGCCGAUCAGGCUGUUGGUGAGGUAAUGGCCCACCAAACCUAUAACCGGUGCGGGCCGUGAGAGCGGGAGCCCGGAGAUGGGCACUGAGACAAGGGCCCAGGUCCUACGGGGCGCAGCAGUCGCGAAACCUUUGCAAUACACGAAAGUGUGACAGGGUCAUCCCGAGUGCCGACCGCUGAGGUUGGCUUUUACCCAGUCUAGAAAGCUGGGGGAAUAAGGAGAGGGCAAGUCUGGUGCCA
rnacentral:rRNA from 1 species